CUGGGUAACUUAGUUUUAAUCCUAAGUGUAUUAUGAACUUUUGUUUGCGAGAGAUUGUGCUUUGAUUUAUACCGUUUGCGAGAGAUUGUGCUUUGAUUUAUACCGGUGAAAGUGGACAGAUUGCUGACUCAAUAAGCUUAUAACUUUGGGACAAGAUCGAGUGGGGAGCUGGAAUUAUUUAAUUAAAUAUAAAUUUAUAAGAUA
rnacentral:lncRNA from 1 species